ACUGCUUGCAUAUGUUUGGUUCAUAUUGUAGUCGUUUAACUACAUUAUAACAACAUAAUGUAAGACCGCAGUGCCAUCUAACAACAAAGUUCGGGACAAACAAAACAAAAACGUUUGCUUCCUUCAGGUGCCUGUCAGCCAUAGUUUGUCGUCACAGUAAUACUUUUCUAUGUACUCGUAAAAUGCCACAAUUUUCAAUAUAAUUGUUAGUUCCAUAGUUUCAGGAGGUUCAGUAGUAAAUGUUUGGUUAGAUAAAGUUGUGUUAUUUACUGUGUUGUGGAAAAUAUAUUUGUCGAAAAACAGUUGUAGUUAUUUGACUACUUUGUGACUAUACAGCUUUAUUGAGAAGCUAAUAUGAGUCAAAAACGUCUGUUAACUUACGAGGAACUUGUUGAGUUGGCUGAUAAUUUAUCAGAUAUAGAGUACCUUAGUAACGAAAAUGAUGAGUUUACUGAUCGAGAUACACCUGUUGAGCAAGAAUCCGAUAAUAUUGAAGAUGAUGUCAACCUUGAUGUUGAACCUAAACAUGAAACCUAAAUCGAAACUCCGUUGAUUGAGUUUAUGAAGGAGAAUGAUUUGACUGAUAAAAAAAAAUCAAAUGGAGAAAGAAUGUAAAAUUUUUGACUCCGGAGUACAGAUGGAAGGAAAAGCUGCCAAGUGAGGCAGUGGAACUUGAAAGCCCAUUUUAUUUUUUCAAAUUGUACUUUACUGAGGAACUAUUUGAGACAAUGAUGCAAUAUACUAACUUAUAUGCCACACAACAGAAUUCACGAUUUGUUUUUACAUCUAUCGCCGAGUUACACACUUUUGUUGGGAUCCAUAUAAUUAUGGGAAACUUACAUUACCCUCGAGUUAUGUUUUAUUGGAAUACUUCAUAUUCUAUAAAAGUACCCAUUGUUGCAGAUAAUAUGGUUGUGAAUAGAUUUUUUGCAAUAAGGA